CCUACGGGUGGCAGCAGUGGGGAAUAUUGCACAAUGGGGGAAACCCUGAUGCAGCGACGCCGCGUGAGUGAAGAAGUAUUUCGGUACGUAAAGCUCUAUCAGCAGGGAAGAAAAUGACGGUACCUGACUAAGAAGCCCCGGCUAACUACGUGCCAGCAGCCGCGGUAAUACGUAGGGGGCAAGCGUUAUCCGGAUUUACUGGGUGUAAAGGGAGCGUAGGUGGCAUGGUAAGCCAGAAGUGAAAACCCAGGGCUCAACUCUGUGGAUUGCUUUUGGAACUAUCAAGCUAGAGUGCUGGAGGGGUAAGCGGAAUUCCUAGUGUAGCGGUGAAAUGCGUAGAUAUUAGGAGGAACACCGGUGGCGAAGGCGGCUUACUGGACAGAAACUGACACUGAGGCUCGAAAGCGUGGGGAGCGAACAGGAUUAGAUACCCGGGUAGUC
rnacentral:rRNA from 1 species